rnacentral:tRNA from 1 species
GCGGCCGUAGCUCAAUGGCAGAGCCUCUGAUUUCCACUCAGAUGACCAGAGUUCGAUUCUCUGUGGCCGCU